GGGAGAACAUGUCUGACAAGAGAAAAUUUUCUGACUUUGGGGCUUCGGUUGGACAUGGAUUCUGAGAUGGGAAAUGCUUGCCUACGCCUCGUAAAAGAGAUCCUGCAGACACAGGGGAAGUCUGUUCAUGUUCUUGACCUACAUAUUCCACCAACAUGGCUGCCACCACUAAGCUGCAGCCCUUUACAGUCUUUGCCCGCAAACUCACAAGAAAUGGAUGCCAUUGUCAUUCCUCUCUGGGUUCCUGGACACUUCAUGUUGUGUUGAUCUUGCAAAGCAGCUGGUUCCAGGUCCCUGGAUUGAAAAAACAGGCAAAGACAUAGAGGUAACAGUCUUCAAGAUUGCAUUACUUCAUCAGAAGAUACAACUGCAUUUAUGGGAAUCAAGUGUCCUCUGUUGCUGUGUCCCAAAGAGAGGGUGGCCUGCAGUGAAUAUUGUAACUAUUUUGCUCAAAACUUUUUAGUAUUAAUAUACACCCCCAUAUAAACUGACUUGGCCCAUCAAAGCAAUAUCAUGAUACCAUGCUUUUUAAAAUAAAUUGUAUUAGAUACAUUUUGAUAUUUGUUCUACUAUCGUGGUGCAGGGACUUCCGAGACAGACACAUGCAAACGACUGUGGCAUUUUUAUGAUAAUGGUAAGCUUUCAAACAUGGAACUUUCAAAUUAGCUGAACAUAUUUUCAGUACCUUAACCUGUUUAAUGUUUCUGACACGG